rnacentral:sRNA from 1 species
CAAGAAGUAUGCUGAAUUGCUGGAUGAACAUCGUACUGAGCAAAAGAAGUUAAAGCUCCUCCAAAAGAAACAGGUACAAAUUCAAAAAGAAAAGGACCAGUUACAAGGUGAACACAGCAGAGCUAUCCUCGCUCGAAGCAAAUUGGAGAGUCUGUGCCGGGAGCUGCAGAGACACAACAAGACUCUGAAGGAAGAGGCGCUUCAGCGGGCACGUGAGGAAGAAGAGAAAAGGAAGGAAAUCACAAGCCAUUUCCAGAGUACCCUCACGGACAUCCAGGGCCAGAUCGAGCAGCAGAGUGAGCGAAAUAUGAAGCUCUGUCAGGAGAACACAGAGCUUGCAGAAAAGCUGAAAAGCAUCAUCGAUCAGUAUGAGCUCAGAGAGGAGCAUCUGGACAAAAUAUUUAAACACAGAGAACUGCAGCAGAAGCUGGUGGAUGCAAAGCUUGAGCAGGCCCAAGAAAUGAUGAAGGAAGCGGAGGAGCGACACAAACGAGAAAAGGAAUAUUUGCUGAACCAGGCAGCAGAGUGGAAACUUCAGGCGAAAGUGCUGAAGGAGCAAGAGACAGUCCUGCAGGCUCAGCUCACUCUCUACUCAGGAAGGUUUGAAGAAUUCCAGAGCACACUAACUAAAAGCAACGAGGUGUUUGCCACGUUCAAACAGGAAAUGGACAAAACAACUAAGAAAAUGAAGAAGCUGGAAAAGGACACAGCCACAUGGAAAGCUCGAUUUGAGAACUGUAACAAAGCUCUGUUGGACAUGAUUGAAGAGCCCUCCUGACUGCUCCAAGAAUUUCAUCGAACAAGACUCAAAGAGGCCCAGCUGCUCUGCGUUUUGAUUCUUCUCCCUCUCUCAGUCCACACUGACCUGGGAGGGGCUUCUCAAACACCACAUUUCCUAGCAUGCUGUGAGAAGAGGACUGUGAGCUAAGAAGGGAGAAAAG